CAACGCCCCCAUCGCCCCCACCGCUGCCGCCGCCUGGCUCAGGCCCUGGUGCUGGCCCUGCUGGCCGUGGCCUGCUGGAGGCCCCUCCUCCGCGGCGUCCUCCCCGCAGACUGCCCCCCGCCCUGUGUGAGCCCCCCGCGCCGGGGAAGCCCCCCUCACCACCCCAGGCCCAGCUGCUGGCUGCAACGCUGAGACGUGGCACUGGCAGAGCCCAUGUGCCCCUCGGUCUAGGGCCCUGUGGGCACCACUGCUGCGCUCCCGCGUCCAGACCGGCCCCCCAGGGGCCAGGACCUACCCCCAGCAGCCCCUGGCUGGGCCGUGUGGAACCCUGCAACCCGGCCUUGGCAGGUCCAGAACCCCCGGGAAGGUGAGGGGAGAACAAAGGAGACCAUCCAGGGCCUCGGCACUGUGUCUCACCUCAGAGUUUGCAAAUAAAGGUUAAAUAGGAGGUGCCAA